AUUGAACGCUGGCGGCAGGCCUAAUACAUGCAAGUCGAACGAGGGGCGGACGGGUGAGUAAUGUCUGGGAAACUGCCUGAUGGAGGGGGAUAACUACUGGAAACGGUAGCUAAUACCGCCUACCAUUGGAUGUGCCCUGAUGGGAUUAGCUAGUUGGGGGGGUAACGGCCCACCAAGGCGACGAUCCCUAGCUGGUCUGAGUGGAUGACCCACAACACUGGAACGGAGACACGGUCCAGAAUCCGACGGGAGGCAGCAGUGGGGAAUAUGUGACAAUGGGCGCAAGCCUGUUGCAGCCAAGCCGCGUGUAUGAAGAAGGCCUUCGGGUUGUAAAGUACUUUCAGCGGGGAGGCGUUACCCGCAGAAGAAGCACCGGCUAACUCCGUGCCAGCAGCCGCGGUAAUAC
rnacentral:rRNA from 1 species